UGGAAAGGCGUGCGAUACAGGGUGACAGCCCCGUACACAAAAAUGCACAUAUUGUGAGCUUGAUGAGUAGGGCGGGACACGUGGUAUCCUGUCUGAAUAUGGGGGGACCAUCCUCCAAGGCUAAAUACUCCUGACUGACCGAUAGUGAACCAGUACCGUGAGGGAAAGGCGAAAAGAACCCCGGCGAGGGGAGUGAAAAAGAACCUGAAACCGUGUACGUACAAGCAGUGGGAGCACGCUUAGGCGUGUGACUGCGUACCUUUUGUAUAAUGGGUCAGCGACUUAUAUUCUGUAGCAAGGUUAACCGAAUAGGGGAGCCGAAGGGAAACCGAGUCUUAACUGGGCGUUAAGUUGCAGGGUAUAGACCCGAAACCCGGUGAUCUAGCCAUGGGCAGGUUGAAGGUUGGGUAACACUAACUGGAGGACCGAACCGACUAAUGUUGAAAAAUUAGCGGAUGACUUGUGGCUGGGGGUGAAAGGCCAAUCAAACCGGGAGAUAGCUGGUUCUCCCCGAAAGCUAUUUAGGUAGCGCCUCGUGAAUUCAUCUCCGGGGGUAGAGCACUGUUUCGGCAAGGGGGUCAUCCCGACUUACCAACC
rnacentral:rRNA from 1 species